rnacentral:rRNA from 1 species
UACGUAGGGUGCGAGCGUUGUCCGGAAUUACUGGGCGUAAAGCGUGCGCAGGCGGUUUUGUAAGUCUGUCGUGAAAUCCCCGGGCUCAACCUGGGAAUUGCGAUGGAGACUGCAAGGCUAGAAUCUGGCAGAGGGGGGUGGAAUUCCUAGUGUAGAGGUGAAAUUCGUAGAUAUUAGGAAGAACACCAGUGGCGAAGGCGGCUCACUGGCCCGGUACUGACGCUGAGGCGCGAAAGCGUGGGGAGCAAACAGG